ACACACUCCUCUAUCACAAUCGCACAGAAAGUGUAGAUAAGGUUACCCAAAGUGGCAUAAAUUAGGUUAUGUCUUUUAUGGGGUGUAAAAUACCCUAUGAAUAAGGAGAGGGCAAGGCUGGUGCCAGCCGCCGCGGUAAAACCAGCUCUUCAAGUGGUCGGGAAUUUUAUUGGGCUUAAAGUGUCCGUAGCCUGUUUGAUAAGUUCCGGGUUAAAUCCGAUAGCUUAACUAUCGGCUAGCUAGGAAUACUGUCUUACUAGAGGGUGGGAAAGGUCUGGGGAACUCCAGGGGUAGGGGUGAAAUGCGAUAAUCCUUGGGGGACCACCAGUGGCGAAGGCGCCAGACUGGAACACGCCUGACGGUGAGGGACGAAAGCCAGGGGAGCGAACGGGAUUAGAUACCCCGGUAGUCCUGGUGGUAAACGUUGCGUGCUAGGUGUUGGAGGGGCUUUGAGCCGUUUCAGUGCCGUAGGGAAACUGUUAAGCGCGCCGCCUGGGAAGUACCCUCCCAAGAGUCAAACUUAAAGGAAUUGGCGGGGGAAAGGGCGAAUUCGUUUAAACCUGCAGGACUAGUCCCUUUAGUGAGGGUUAAUUCUGAGUUGGGGUAAUCAUGGCCAUAGCUGUUUCCGGA
rnacentral:rRNA from 1 species